CGGCUGUGAUGACUUCUUAGGACACCUUUGGAUUCCACAUGAAACUAACUGAUCUAAGAUCUGAGCCGC
ensembl:snoRNA SNORD58 Small nucleolar RNA SNORD58